UACGUAGGGGGCAAGCGUUGUCCGGAUUUAUUGGGCGUAAAGAGCGUGUAGGCGGCUUGGUAGGUCUUGCGUCAAAACCUGAGGCUCAACCUCAGUUCGCGUGGGAAACCACCUAGCUAGAGUCCGGAAGAGGAGAACGGAAUUCCCAGUGUAGCGGUGAAAUGCGCAGAUAUUGGGAAGAACACCAGUGGCGAAGGCGGUUCUCUGGGACGGUACUGACGCUGAGACGCGAAAGCGUGGGGAGCGAACAGG
rnacentral:rRNA from 2 species